GUUCCCAUGCAGAUGGAAGAUGACUCACCCUGAAGAAUCUUAAGCAGCACACUAAGGAAAGAAUUUAACGUGUAGGCGGGAAAGACACUGGGGGUUGGUGAGUUAUUACAAUUUAGUGAACAUAGCGCCGGUGUAACUUCGAAGUAUUAGAACUUUAGUCGCCGAGGCAAGCAGAAAACUGAUUGAAAUGAAAAAAGCUCGAAGAAGAGUUCUUGUUCGUCGAGUGAGCUGCUUGGUACCACUAUCCCUGACGUCAGGUCGACAUCGGUACUUACUCGACAGUGCCGUGGCCCUCCGCACUUUCCUGCACGACGUUACCUUGGAGAAUCUCCUGAGUUUUCACAGUGGAAAUCACCAAUUCCCUGUCCUGCUCCGGCUCUGAGAAAACACAUUGAGGGUGAAUCAUGGCUAGAUAUGAGUAAUAUUUCUGUAUAUCUGUGUGGGUAUGCCUUACCUGUGAGUAAGACAAGGCUUAGUGGCCGUUGGAGGGUUGAACCUUCCUUUGAUUUGUGGAAUCCUGGUAGAAUCGAAGUAGUUUCAGGCAGCGGCUCUGACUUUGGUUCAUCUGGGGUGAUUGUGGCGUCACUAAAACUUAUCUCCAGCCCGUUUUCCUUAGACUCUGCCAAAGUUGAGCUGCAGGGCUGUAGAUUCAUCGGCUGCCAGGUGCGGCCUGUGUGCCUGCCAAAUGAUGUGGCGAUUUGUCCAAGGUGCACCCCGCCUUCCCCAUCAAUGCAGUUGAGAUAGGCUCCAGCGACCCCCUGCCACCCCAAAAGGGACAAGAGCUGAGAUAGGCUCCAGCGACCCCCCGCAACCUUGAAAGGGACAAUCGGUAGAAAAUGGAUGGAUGGAUGGAGGGAUGGUGUGGAGAGACUGAGCCGACGAGCCGACAGCAGGAUAGGACAAAUGCCGGUCCUACCCAAGAUGGCGGCCCAGAGGCGGGGCAUGCGGCGGAGAGAAAAGGCGGGACGCACUCGGAGCGCCGCUGCAACCAGCCAAGUCAGGUGCGUACACCACACACCUGCGCUCAAUCUGUUCAUUUUCUGCUGCAGUACAAAAGAGGCGAAGUAAGAAUGAUCGAGGCAGAAGUAGGCGAGAAAACCACAGCAACCGAAGACCACGAGCACGACGAGCGAGACCCAGAGCGAGAUGAGCCCCCGCAACAGACGCAGACAGCGGGCAUCGAAAGGUGUGCCGCGACCAGCAGGAAUAGCCCGCGCGCUGGAAAGUGGCGCGACCGAAUGGCAAGAAUCUGACACGUUUGUUGAAAUAAUAAACACAGGUCAAACC